AUGUGCUACCUCUGCAAGGACUCCGGCCACCCCGCGGUUCUUUGCCUGGACCGGCCGGUGACCGAGGAGAUCAUGAUGUACGACCACGGCAUUGAGGGCAUGGGCUUCUUCCACGUCGAGGUGCUGGACGCCCCACCGCCCUCCCCCUCGCUCCUGGCGAUUGUCUCCGUCGUGGGCGAGGGCGUCGCUUCCCCCGCGAUGAUCGAGGCCGAGCUCAACCACCUGUGUAGGUGCAAGUGGAACUGGCAGGUGGCCCCUAUUUCCGCCAACACCUUCACGGUGGUCUUCCCUGACGCCAUCAGCAUGGGGUACCGCACUCGCAGCGGCAACACCACCUUGGUUCUUAACCAGCUGGUGGUGGACAUCUCCGAGCCGAAGUGGGAUCCCAAGGCGGUGGCGGUUCUGGACACGGCUUGGAUCCUCAUCGCCGGCCUGCCCGAUGUUGCCUGGUCUGAGUGGGUUAUCCGCAGUAUGUCCAAGAUCCUCGGCAAGGUGGUGGUGGUCGACGAGCUCUCACUUCGCAAGGAGGAGGAGGUCCGAGUGAAGGUGAAAUCCCUGGACUCCUCCAAGCUCCGCGCCACAGUCCGCGUGUUCUUCAACGACGAGGGUUUCGACCUCAAGAUCUGCCCCGAGCCGCCAAACCAUGUCGACCGCUCCCGCUUCUCCGAUGAUGGUCACCAGGGGGUGGGCCGGGUGAUGCCGGCGACUCCCACCACCGGCGCCCUCGCCCGUCUCGCCACGACGACCCGGAGGACGACGGCGACCUGUCGGAGCACUCCUGCUCCCCCUCCGGGGAGCCAUCUAACCCACCUCCGGGUCGUGGUGGCUCUGGGUCCGGGCGCACCCGAGUGA
rnacentral:rRNA from 1 species